rnacentral:rRNA from 1 species
CCUACGGGUGGCAGCAGUGGGGAAUAUUGCACAAUGGGCGCAAGCCUGAUGCAGCCAUGCCGCGUGUGUGAAGAAGGCCUUCGGGUUGUAAAGCACUUUCAGCGGGGAGGAAGGCGUUAAGGUUAAUAACCUUGGCGAUUGACGUUACCCGCAGAAGAAGCACCGGCUAACUCCGUGCCAGCAGCCGCGGUAAUACGGAGGGUGCAAGCGUUAAUCGGAAUUACUGGGCGUAAAGCGCACGCAGGCGGUCUGUCAAGUCGGAUGUGAAAUCCCCGGGCUCAACCUGGGAACUGCAUUCGAAACUGGCAGGCUAGAGUCUUGUAGAGGGGGGUAGAAUUCCAGGUGUAGCGGUGAAAUGCGUAGAGAUCUGGAGGAAUACCGGUGGCGAAGGCGGCCCCCUGGACAAAGACUGACGCUCAGGUGCGAAAGCGUGGGGAGCAAACAGGAUUAGAACCCUAGUAGUC